CUCGCCGGUGACAAACCGGAGGAAGGUGGGGAUGACGUCAAGUCAUCAUGGCCCUUACGGCCUGGGCUACACACGUGCUACAAUGGUCGGUACAAAGGGUUGCCAAGCCGCGAGGUGGAGCUAAUCCCAUAAAACCGAUCGUAGUCCGGAUCGCAGUCUGCAACUCGACUGCGUGAAGUCGGAAUCGCUAGUAAUCGUGAAUCAGAAUGUCACGGUGAAUACGUUCCCGGGCCUU
rnacentral:rRNA from 1 species